UGCCGUCUCCCGGGGCUGCCGCGCGUCUGCCCAGGAAAAAGGAGCCCUGGGGACACCCGGGGACUUCACUGCCGGGUAGGAGGCGACAGUGGCCAGAGGACCUGCAACCUUUGGGGACCCAUUCCUUUAUUGAUCGAGCACAGCUCCAGCUCUUCCUGGGUCUGAAGCUCCAAACUCCAACAUUCCAUGGAAAUCACAGCUCCAGCUCUUCCCUGUGUCCUGGUCCCACAGUGGAUCUCCAAACUCCAACUGAACAUUCAGUGAGAAUCACAGCUCCAGCCUUUCCUGCCCUUGGAUUGAAGCUCCAAAUUCCAACUGACAUUCCACCAACAGCACAGCUCCAGCCCUUCCUAUCUCCUGCCCCUGGACUGAAGCUCCAAAUUCCAUGAAAAGCACUGCCCUUCCCUGUGUCUGAAAUUCCAAAUUCCAAUUCAACAUUCCAUGAAAAGCACACCUUUUCACUGAACAUUCCAUGAACAGCACAGCUCCAGCCCUUCCUACCUCCUGCCCCUGGACUGGAGAUGUAAACUCCAAAAACUGAAUCCAUGAAAAUCACAGCUCCAGCUCUUCCCUGUGUCUGAAACUCAGAACUCCAAUUAUUCCAUGAAAAUCACAGCUCUUCUAGCUCCUCCUGUCUCCUGCCCUACGACUGAAUCUCCAAACUCCAACAAAGGAUUCCAUGAAACCCAGGGCCAGAUUCCAAAGUUCUGUAUUUUUCAAAAUAAAGAUCACACGUUGUUUAGAGACAAUCUACACAAGAGUUACAAAAAAUAGUCGCCCAGGCAGAAGCAUACACAGGUUUGUUAAUUAUACACAUAUGGUUACAAGUGUGCUUGCAAAAAAGUUCAUUGGAAAUAUACACAAGGCUCUGUAAAUGUACACCGUGUAGUGUUACAAUUCUAUAUUCAAACGAGGAAAA